rnacentral:misc_RNA from 1 species
AGAAGUGACUCCUAGAACAGUUGGAGCACUAAUUGCCCUUUAUGAACGGGCUGUUGGUAUCUACGCAUCUCUGGUCAAUAUCAAUGCAUAUCAUCAGCCUGGUGUAGAGGCCGGGAAAAAGGCAGCAGGAGAAGUACUAGCUCUUCAGAAGAGAAUUCUUUCCGUUCUUAAUGAGGCUAGUUGCAAGGAUCCGGUUGAGCCAUUAUCGCUUGAAGAAAUCGCAGAUCGCUGUCAUGCACCUGAAGAGAUUGA